UAGGGAAUAUUAGUAAUCUGGGAAGCCGGGAACUAGCAACGCCGCGUGUGCGAUGAAGGCCUUCGGGUUGUAAAGCACUUUUUAAGGGAAUGAGAAAGGACAGUACCCUUAGAAUAAGUCUCGGCUAACUACGUGCCAGCAGCCGCGGUAAGACGUAGGAGACGAGCGUUAUUCGGAUUUACUGGGCGUAAAGCGCGUGUAGGUGGUUUGGUAAGUAGGGCGUGAAAGCUCCUGGCUCAACUGGGAGAGGCCGUUCUAAACUGCCGAACUAGAGGAUGGUAGAAGGAGGUGGAAUUCCGGGUGUAGCGGUGGAAUGCGCAGAUAUCCGGAGGAACACCAGUGGCGAAAGCGGCCUCCUGGACCAUUCCUGACACUCAGACGCGAAAGCUAGGGUAGCAAACGG
rnacentral:rRNA from 1 species